rnacentral:rRNA from 1 species
GAUGAACGCUGGCGGCGUGCCUAAUACAUGCAAGUCGAGCGAACGGACGAGAAGCUUGCUUUUCUGAUGUUAGCGGCGGACGGGUGAGUAACACGUGGAUAACCUACCUAUAAGACUGGGAUAACUUCGGGAAACCGGAGCUAAUACCGGAUAAAAUUUUGAACCGCAUGGUUCAAAAGUGAAAGACGGUCUUGCUGUCACUUAUAGAUGAAUCCGCGCUGCAUUAGCUAGUUGGUAAGGUAACGGCUUACCAAGGCAACGAUGCAUAGCCGACCUGAGAGGGUGAUCGGCCACACUGGAACUGAGACACGGUCCAGACUCCUACGGGAGGCAGCAGUAGGGAAUCUUCCGCAAUGGGCGAAAGCCUGACGGAGCAACGCCGCGUGAGUGAUGAAGGUCUUCGGAUCGUAAAACUCUGUUAUUAGGGAAGAACAUAUGUGUAAGUAACUGUGCACAUCUUGACGGUACCUAAUCAGAAAGCCACGGCUAACUACGUG